rnacentral:misc_RNA from 1 species
UCGUAACAAGGUUUCCGUAGGUGAACCUGCGGAAGGAUCAUUACUGAGUGAGGGUCCCUCGGGGCCCAACCUCCCACCCGUGUAUACCGUACCUUGUUGCUUCGGCGAGCCCGCCCCCUUUUUCUUAGGGGGGCACAGCGCUCGCCGGAGACACCAACGUGAACACUGUCUGAAGUUUUGUCGUCUGAGUCGAUUGUAUCGCAAUCAGUUAAAACUUUCAACAAUGGAUCUCUUGGUUCCGGCAUCGAUGAAGAACGCAGCGAAAUGCGAUAAUUAAUGUGAAUUGCAGAAUUCAGUGAAUCAUCGAGUCUUUGAACGCACAUUGCACCCCCUGGUAUUCCGGGGGGUAUGCCUGUCCGAGCGUCAUUGCUGCCCUCAAGCACGGCUUGUGUGUUGGGUCGUCGUCCCCCCCGGGGGACGGGCCCGAAAGGCAGCGGCGGCACCGCGUCCGGUCCUCGAGCGUAUGGGGCUUUGUCACACCGCUCUUGUAGGCCCGGCCGGCUGCUGGCCGACGCUGAAAAGCAACCAACUAUUUCUCCAGGUUGACCUCGGAUCAGGUAGGGAUACCCGCUGAACCUAAGCAUAUCA